ensembl:lncRNA
GGAGGUUCCCAGGCUAGGGGUCUAAUCCGAGCUGUAGCUGCCAGCCUAUGCCAGAACCACAGCAACGCGGGAUCCGAGCCGCGUCUGCAACCUACACCACAGCUCACGGCAACACCAGAUCGGAUCGUUAACCCACUCAGCAAGGCCAGGGAUCGAACCUGCCACCUCAUGGUUCCUAGUCAGAUUCGUUAACCACUGCGCCACGACAGGAACUCCCAGAAUUUUGGCCAUUCUAAUGGGUGGGUAGUGAUAUCUCAUUUUUCUUUUAUUUUGCAUUUCCCUGAUGAUACAUGGUAUGUAACAUAUGUUGAACCUUUUAAAGAAUAUUAAUGACAUGUUAAUGACUUCUGUUUUAUAGGACUCAAAUUUGGUGGGCAUGGGUGUGACUUUCAAAAUGAUAUGGUGCUAUUACAUAAACAACGAUAUAAAAUAAUAGGAAGGAUUUUUACUUCCAAUAUGUUUCGGAGUUUUGUGCUCGAUCUGGAUCUUUACCUAUCAAAAAUUUCCUAGAAUGAAUCAUGUGUAGAAAUUUCUCUUUUCUUACUUAAAAUGAAUAUAUCUAUAAAUGUGUUCUUCUUGUAUUAAAUGAUUUGUUCAAGUAAGAAGAUUCCAUACUACCCAAUUCAUUUUCUUUACUGGUACUAAAUUUAAGAUUAUAUUUUAAAGCAAAGAUAUAUCAAGAUAUAUCAGGUAGGUGUUGUAAAAUCCUGUGUGUAUACUUCUUAGCUAUAGCUUAAGAACUAUAUAAAGUAAGUUUGUAUAUCAGUGAAGAACCAGCACUGUCUCUAGCACAUCCUUCUGGCCGAUCUCACCAUUUUUAAACUAUUUUGCCCUCUUUGUAAAUUGCAGGUCUUUAGAGAUAAUGAAAGCUCUUUCUCAUUUGGCAGAGUUUUAACUGACAUCCUCCCCUUCUUUGGAAAUACCAGUUUCGGUACCUACCCCAAAGUAGAUUAGGGACUGUUACUUUGCACAAAUUGUCAACUCUUACCAAACUUCCAGUUCUUCCAAUUUUCUUCAAUAUCUGACUACAAUCCACCCAACCAACUUUUUUCAGUUCUUCUCACACCUAUCUAAAACUAAAAACUAAAACCAGACAGCCCAAAUCUUUAUCCAGACUCUAUGGUGUCUUGCAACUGUUUGUUGCUCUCCAGACCUCUAGGACUCCAACACAACUGACCUUUGCCACCCCCUCCAAACAUCUGGCUCACCUGGUUUUGCAGGAGCAAGGCCAACAAGAAUCCCUGAGACACUUCUUAGAAAGUGUUUCAUCCCACCCAGGACAUUUAUGAUCACCUAUGGGUUGUUCAGCAAUGAACAGUAUUCAUUCAUCUUGAACAAAGGUGAAGGGGCUGACAAUGUUGACCCUCACCUGAACCCUGUACUCCUAGAACACAGAGACAGUUAAGAAAUGCCCCCACCCUCUUGUGUUCCAGAAGCAGAUAAGAGCAAAGGACCACACUGCUCUCAUUCUGAGAUAAGUACCUCUCCACCUACCGCACAAAUCUAGAAAAACUGGCAGAUUCAUUAACCUACCUCUAAAACAGAUCAAGCCCCCUUUCCUUUUUAUUAGAUGUUCCUCUUUAGUGAAUAUUCUCCCUGUUGCAAUAUCUUGAAUAAAACCAUCUCUUUCAUUGUCCUAUGCAUUUUGUCUUUGACAGAACAAUAACAACAACAACAAAACAAUUCACCUGAGGUAUCACUAAUACAGCAUUUUCACUACACUGGAAGUUUUAAAGAUUUUAUAGAUAUAAUUUGAAUGACUUCUGGGGAAUUUAUUGGCAAAACCUGACCCAGAGCCAUUUCUAAGUAGUUUCCAAUUUUUUAAUAAAGCAUAUCAGAAAGAGGUUUCGAGCUGUUUGAGAACCUACAGGCAACAACUUGGAAGCUAAAGAGAGAGUGCGAAAGAUGUUUCAACUUGAAAGGGAAAGAAAGAAAAUACAAAAGGACAUUAAAAACCCAGUAGGUAAGACUCAAAAGUCACCUGGGGGUUAUGAAGUAUUUGAAAACUCUCCUGAGUUCCAAAGAGAUAGUUUAGAACGAUGAAAUUUAAGUCUGGCAAAAUGCCUCUCAUCAUGCAGUUGCCAAAUAACCUUCUGUGCACCCUGUAAUUAUGGAGAUCGCAGGAAUGUGUGGAAAAUGCAGUGCAAAGACUGAAGGUAUACUUUGUAAUAAUAGUGUGGAGAGGGAAAUAUAUUGGUAAUUGAGAUUUUUUAAGUGCUCAUCUAUAACAAAUUUUAAAUUCUGUAGCCUCCUAGAAAAAGGAGAUGAACAAUUUUAAAUAAAAGUGAUAAAAAUAAGUAAUAUUAUAGUGAAAUAGCUGGUUUUAGAAAUCAGCAUAAGAAUAGGUUGCUUAGGGAAUAUGAUUUCAACACCAUUUGAACAAGGGAGGCUGCAUCUAAAAAUAUUAACACAGAUAUUUCUCAUCUAUCAUCCACCUUUUACUAGUGGUGAGAGACUAGACAAGUUAUUUAAACUAUUUUUCUAGGCCACAGAGUCUAUGCCAGAGACUCUUUAUAUGGAAAAUAGUGGCAAUAAUAAUUCCUAUAUCAUAGAGCUAUUUAGUGGAAUAAUAAUAAAAAUAUCAUUAAUAAAAAAUCUAUGAAACUCUUAUUAGGUGACAAACUCUGUACUAAGGACUUCACAUGGGUUAUUGCACUUAAUGAUCACAACAUGAUGAGGAUGUAACUAAUAUGAUGCCCAUUUUUAGUUGAAGAAACUAAGGCACAGAAGUUGCCAUUGUGGCUCAGCAGGUUAGGAUCCCCAGUAGGAUCCUUGAGGAUAGAGGUUCAAUCCCUGGCCUCACUUGGCGGGUUGAGGAUCCAGCGUUACCACAAACUGUGGUGUAGGUCGUAGAUGAAUAAUGACUGUGAUUUCAAAGUUUACAAAAUAAUAGAAGGGACCAGGAGUGGGAAAAAAGCCUGAAUAGCUAGGGAAGAUGGUCCUGUGCCAAUGAUCAAUGUAUUGCCCCUCAGCUCCAAAUCCACUCUUCACUGCUUGCUGCCUGACAAUGGAUUGGAGCCUUGUAAAUAGUUCUCCUUUGUCUGCAGGUAUGAUGUUGAGCUCUGUCGCUAGAGGGCACUAGAGGGACACAGGAGGAGAAAUGGAUUUCUCUUACGAGUAGAUUCUUUCAAGCCAGGCUCCUGUGGGGCAGUUCCUUCAGCACUAGACACCUACAGCAAUACUUCACUGGAAGCAAGCUCCUCCAGUGCCUUCUCCGGCUCCAGACUCCUGUGACGCAAGUAUUGCUUCUCCAGAGCCAGCAGCUUCCCUUGUCACUCUCUCAGGUGGCUUUGCAGCAGCAGAGUACCUCCUGUCUGGCACCAUCCAGUGACUGACUUUCUGUAACACUUACCCCCACCCACAGGCAGGCAGAGAGCCACCAGUGGGAUGCCUCCCUGUGAACAGCGUCCCCUGUACUCCCCUGAUGGCUUUGCAGUGAGUUCUGAGAUUCCCACCUCCCUGUGGAUGGCUUCACCAGCACCCCUUGAAAGCAGAUUUCUGCAAGUUCCACCUGCAACUCUGCCACAUGAAUAAGCCCCCUCCCACAAAGUCUGGGCCUCAACCCUGGUGUGGGCGGACAUCCUUCCUGUUCUCUCAGGUCUAGGAGUAGCGGCUGCUCUUUAGAUCUGCUACUCCUGUGUUCUUUCAAAUUCUCCUAACUUCUUACCAGCCCCUGUUCUAUAAUGUGCAUAUAUUAUAUCUAAAACCAGAAAAAAAAUAAACCUAAGAAUAAAAUUAAUUCUAAACACACCCUGACUGCAGGUGUAGGUGACUGGAGUUGUUCUUGACUAGUACUGACUAGUACUGUUCUUUGUGUUUCCUCCCUUCUAUAUAUAGUCAGUUUCUUGGAAAAGCACUAGCUUUUCUUGGUAAACGUCCCACAGUUACCUCCAUCUCAACAUAUUCUAAAACUAAGUCUAAAUCAUCUUUUCUUUGUAUAUUUCCUUUCUCAGUAAUCGCCUUUUUUGACAUAGUUACCUAGGCUAGAAACCCGAUGGUCAUACAUGUCUCAACAUUUCAACAGGACACACAAUCUUUUCAAUUCUAUCUUCGUAACACUUCUCAAAUUAGUUACUUCCUUUCUCAGGUUUCCUCAUCUUAAAAAUAAUAAUAGUUACCAUUUAUGAAUGCUUAUUAUGUGCUAGUCUUUGUCCUAAAAUGAACCCACAACUCUAAGAAGUAGGUAUCAUCAGUCCCAUUUUACAGACAAGAAACCUGAGACUUUGUAGUUUAUAUAACUUAUUCAGAUAUAAAUAACUAGUAAAAGGCAAAGUAAUAAUUCAAAAUCAUGUAACUGAUGGCAUACAACAGCUUCCCACUACUAUAACACAUACACUGCUUUCAGUCUAGCCCCAUUAUAAUGCAUCCACUACACAGUUUCCACAAAACCUUCUAAAAGGCAAAUCUGGUCAUGUUACUUUCAAACACUUCAACAGGAAUUUUGCUGCUGGAUAUUUAAUAAAUAGUGACAGGUCAUCCUUCUUUCACCAGAUAGAAAAAAAAAAAAGGUAAAAUUACAGAAAUAACAUUCUUAAAGCCAUCAAAGGGCUGUGGAAACAAAGAUUAUCAAAUUAAAAUUCAUGAGAUAGUAGAACCCUUCUUAGAUGAUCUGAGAUUGCCAAAUCUUUCUUCCCUUUGGGGAUUAAUCAUGUCUAGGCAUUGCUAAGAAACUGUCUUGCCAUACACAGAAUUUUUUGAGGAAAAGGACAAUCAGAAGAACCUUUGAUGACUAUGUGGGUUUGUGUGAUGUAUUGGAAUCUAGAGAAAUUGUAUAACUAUGGCCAGUACUCCCCAGAGGACAUACUCUGUGUGGUGCAGGAGGCUGUGGUUUGGACUGGAGAGGCAGAUUCAGGUUUCCUGUGGUCCUGCAGUACUUAGGAGACAAUAUCCUACUAAGAGGAGAGGGCUAAAACAAGCAUUUGAAAUUAAAAAUAAACAAAGUCUUACUAAAGCUGUAAACUAGUACUGAUUAAGCUCAAUUCCUAAUUGGAUUAACAUGAUCCACCCUUCAUGCUCUCUGUCCAACUAAGGAAAGGGUGCAUUAUCUCUGGGAGAAAAUAACAGUAACUUCAUUAUCUACAGAUCUUUUAUCAUAACUUCUGUAGAAAUUAUAGGGUUUGCAAGGAAAACAGAAAAUAUGACCAAUAAUAGAGAGGAAAAGAUAGACGUUAGAAGCAGAUCCAAGGAUCAUCCAGAUAUUAAUGUCAGCAGGCUAGGACUUUAAAAUUAUUAUUAUAAAUAUGUUAAAGAAAACAGAAAUUUUGGACAAAAUGGAUGAAAACAUAAGGAAUUUCAACUGACAAUUAGAAUAUAUACAUAAAUGAAAUUCAAAUGCCAUUUUAGAAAUGAAAACAAUAUACACAUA